ensembl:lncRNA
UCACAGCUAGGUGCUGGAGUCUGCUUUGGCCUGUGGUCCUCCUGAGCCAUGUAUGGAGCCGACGCAAGGCACUAAAAGACCGCUCACAUGUACAGCUGCUAGCUCGUAUUGUCAAGGUCCCCUGCCUGCACCAUCACCUCAUCACUGGUCCCCUGCAUCAUCACCUCAUCACUGGUCCCCUGUGUCAUUACCUCAUCACUGGUCCCCUAUACCAUCUCUUCAUCUCUUCAUCACCGGUCCCCUGCAACAUAUCCUCUUCAACAAAUUUUGAGAACACUUGAGGAAUGUAAAUCCUUGUUAUUUAUCUUUCAUUUGAAUAUUUAUCCGGAAACCUUCAAGUUCUCUUUAUUUAUUGAAAUUUUAAAUGUGUUUUUAUAAAAAACUAAACUGUCUUGAAGAUUCUCAGCAAAGUGGAUCUUAUCUCUUAUUGAAAGAGAAAUUAAAUGACAAAUGAGCAAAACUGGAUGGGAUUUUUUAUUUAGACAGUGAGGUAAUACCAGGUAAUACCUGUGGCUGCUCAUGAUUGCUAUACAGCUCUCAAAUAUAUUUGACAGGCCCGAGAAUAAUAGGCUGUUGAUGUUGCUGCCUAGGUGGAUGCCACACUCAACCUAGGUUGCUUUCGGUGCUCCUCUAUAACCAGGACACAUGAUGAUGACGUUGGAGACCAGUUUAUUCUAGAGAUUGAAGGAAAAUUGAACAUUAGGAUGGUGAUCCAUGCUGCCAUGUCGGAGAUUACUCAGAGUGUGUGUGUGUGUGUGUGUGUGUGUGUGUGUGUGUGUGUGUGUGUGUGUGUGUGUGUGUGUGUGUGUGUGUGUGUGUGUGUGUGUGUGUGAU